UCAAAAUCAUUACUAAGCUUUGUGCCAUGUUAGGGCAGGAAUGAGUUAAAGUCCAGGGCUGGAGUUAAAGUCUAAUCUUUUCCACGCUUUGCAGAAUUAUACAGCAAUGAAUCUAAAUCACAAACCUGUAAGCUACAAGUUUCCUAAGGCUUGUCUUACUAAAUGUGAGACCUUAGGACUUGCUUUGCCAUUUUGCUAAUUGUUGGAGAAGACUGCCAUCCAGACCAAUCUACUGGUGUUGCAGGUAUACACAGAUAUACAGACAGGGUGAGAGAAAGAGAGUAGGACAUGGAGGAAAUAUGGUUUUAUAGACAGUGAAGGGUAAAAAGGGGAGUUUGUAACACAAUAAACAUAGAGAUCUAAGACUGAUAAGGAGGCAUGGAGAACAAAGCAGAGAUACAGAAGAAAAAAGACUGAUAGAAAGAAUGUGACGAAGAACCUAGGAAGUACAGAAGAACAAAGCUCUCUCCUCUCUCUGGUUCUCUCAUGCCUCUGUUUCCGUUCACUAUGCCAACCUCUUCGUGCGCACACACAUACAGCACAGCAGCGCUCUCUUUCUUGCCCUCCUAUUCACCGCCGCCCCCAUCCCGUUCUCAUCACUGCAUCAUCACAGUGCGCCGCGCAACACACAGCACACACCACUAGAACGCCUCCCAGCAAGUCAGGGUAUAGCCCUGCCACUGGACCCGAGAACCGGGUAGAGAAGCCAGGGACACAGGUACAGAAUGAAGAAGGAGAAGGAGGAAGAGAGCGGGAGAGAGAGACUCACACCAAAAAGGAGAGAGAGAGAGCCAUGAGGUGAAGUGCCCAGCUGAGCUGAGGUCCAGUGCCGCUGUCUGGGGUCUCCAAGACAGCAGCUGAGACCCACUCCCCUGGGACUCAGGGAACACAGACAGGAUGAACUGCCUGAAAACUGUCCAGCAAAACUGAACACAAAAUUGCAAAAAAGAAAUGCUUAACUCACGACGCAUGUUGUGUUCAGCUCGAUGCAUUUGCGCAGCUUGCAGAUCUGGUGGCCGGUCUUGCGAUUGAAGCAGUUGGUACAGCUACCACAGUUUU